rnacentral:tRNA from 1 species
GAUAAUGUGGCUGAAAAUUUAAGCGAUAAAUUGUAAAUUUAUUUAUAAAAUUAAAAUAUUUUCAUUAUUA